AAAUAAAUUAUAUUUAGUUUCGACCUAAAUUUUGAAAAAUAAUUAUUUUCUUUAUUUA
rnacentral:tRNA from 1 species